UCACGGCCGAUGUGAACGGAGACGCAGCUGCUUCUCUCCCGGUUAUUCCCCGAGGACAUGGAGGAGAGGACUGUGAGAAUGUUAUGGAACUGCCAUCAGGUGUGUUCAGAGAGACUCACAGCAUUGCACAGCUUCUUCUUCUGAGGAUCAGAGUGGACGGCCUGGAGCCCGCCAACAGGGCUCUCUCAGGAGAGGAUAAGUGCAUUAAAGCUGUUUCAUUUAAAGGCCUGCUCACCAGAGGAAAAGAUAUCUUCAAGCAGCUCUAACAGAUGUAACUGUACACAGAGACGAUG